UAUCCUUAACUCAAAGGAUUUAUAGUUCAAUCUUAACUUUACACUAGCUCUAGUGUUCUUUCAUCACUUUAUGUUGCUAACUCUAGCAAUCAUUGUUCUUUACUUUUCUUUUACUUUUGCCAUCUAUAGCAUUCUUGUUCUUUACAUUUCUUGUUCUUAUUGCCCCACUUUACUUUAACUUUACACAUAUUGUCACUUCCAUCAUUCUUUACAUCACCUUGGUUCUUUACCUCACACUAUCUCUAGUGUCAUUUCACUUUAACUUUAUCAAAUGCCACUCGAUCUAUGUCAUUGUGUCUCUCUGUUCUUUUGCUCACCUU
rnacentral:lncRNA from 1 species